CUCUCUCUCUCUCUCUCUCUCUCUCUGCACCUCCUUGAGCAUGUUGCACAUUUACUGCUGGGGCAGAUCUUGUGCCUGGGGUCAUAUUUUGCUCCACUGGAGCAAGGCCAUCUGCACAUGGAUGAGAAAUUGGAUUUGGGUCUUGUGGAUGUGCAAGCGCACAUGAUGUCGGAUGCUUAGUUUGUCUCCACCACCCUUCCCUCCAACUUCUUUGUUGUCUUAGCCUACCUUUCCAUUAAUUAGAGGCUAUUAUUCUCUUCAGCUGAGAUAUCCUUGAUCACAAUCCCGUGGCAGAGGAUUCUGAUACAGUGGAGAGACUUGCUGGAAGACCUCUGAUACCUGGAAAAAAAUUUGUUUCUGGACUACAGCUCCCAGAGUCACCCAGUCAGCCUGCUCCUGUCCUAUGCUAGCUGGAAGAUUCUGAGAGUCUGAAAAGGAUAGUUUCAAAUUCCGGCCGGUAGGACCAGCCGUUGGUCACAGAGAGCCUCAUGAGAGUGGAGUGGACUGCCUUGGAAGGCGGUGGAAUCUCCUCCUUCAGAAGUUUUGAAACAGAGUUUGUGUGUGUGUGUGUGGGGGGGGGAAGGUCCUGACUGUCAAGUUUGUGUUAGCUGUGGGUUUCUUGACUAGGUGAUCUUUGGGCUUCUUUCUAGAGCUACCGUUCUGUGUCUCUGUGGCAAUCUCACAAAGCAGCAGAGGACCCUCUCCUAAGGCACAUGGUGAUGGCAGCCACUCUCUUUCGGAGAGGGAGGGAAAAUCCAGGCUGCAGAAAGGUUGUUGUUGGGGGGGGGGAGGAAACGGACAUAAAUUGCAUUGGCCCCCUUCCUUUCCAAAGAAUAGAGAGAGCGUGAGAACCGCUCUGUGCUGAACUGCUUGCCGACAUUGACUCUUCUGUGUGGGAAGAGGGCAGGAAAGGACGAUCCUGUUUGUGCAAAGCAGCAAGGGGGGGGGGUGAGGUCUCUAGUCUCUUCCUUCUCCUCCCCCCCCCUUUGCAAUCCCCCCUGGCUUGGCUCCUAUCCCACAUCACAUGCCCUGUGGUGUUCUGCCGCUUUAAACCUGGGCAGGGUGGCUGGCUGUCCGCGGAGUGCUUUGCAGCUGUUGCCUAGCCUUCUGCUCCUCUAUUUUAUAAAUAAUGCAGCACAGAGGCGGGUUGGCAGGCAGCUUUGCAGACAGUUGGAUCGAAGGAGCCUUCAACACAUAGCAGCAAGUUAUGUGCAUGUGUGCGUGUGUGCGCACGCACAAGAGGUUAGGCGGAGGGAACAGUUGUGAAUAUGUGCAGAGUCCUUCACGGCCGCUUUCCAUAUAGUUGGGAUUGUGGAUCAUCCUGAUAUCAAGGCAAACAGUCCUUGCCCACUUCAAAUUUAGAGAUCAACCAUUGUUGCAGGUACGUUUACAUGUGCUCAGUAGAUGAAUUAAGGGUUACGUCUCAUUUACCUUUUUUUUUCCCUUUUGCCUCGUCUGUUAUUACCCGAACAGCAGCUGAAAUGAAAUCUUAAUUAUGAUCAUGACUUUCUAAUAACUGUAUUUGCUUUAAUCCAGGGUCACAGUCAACCCUGUUUGAUCCCACAUUUUGGUACAGAAAGCCAAACACUGAGUCAACAGGCUGGACUUUAGCUAAGCUCAGCAUUGCCCCCUGAUUUUGUCCUAAGUUUUAUACUAAAUUUUAUUCCAGUUUCUCUGACAUAGGGCUUGCUCCUUUGUAUGUGCUUCUGUCCCUAGCCAAAAGGAAUUGUGUUUCAAUGCAGGGUUUUGUGUGUGUUUGUGUUUGGCUAAAUGACGUGGCGCAGUGGUUAAAACGCUGUACUGCAGCUAAAACUGUGCUCACGACCUGGGGUUCAAAUCCCAGGUAGCCGGCUCAAGGUUGACUCAGCCUUCCAUCCUUCCGAGGUCAGUAAAAUGAGUACCCAGCUUGCUGGGGGGGGGGGCAAUGUGUAGCCUGUAUAAUUAAAAUUGUAAACCGCCCGGAGAGGGCUUGUAGCGCUAUGGGGCGGUAUAUAAGUCCAAUAAAUAAAUAAAUAUAAAUAAACUCUUGUGUCUA
ensembl:lncRNA